rnacentral:ribozyme from 1 species
AAGAGUAAAGAAAUUCUAAGCAAUAAGGUCACAUUUUUUUCUUCUAUCUUUUUUCGUACUCUCUUUCAUCUCUGUCCAUCUUUUCCAUUUUGAGGAUGAAAAGGAUAGUUUCGACGAGGAUGGUGCCAGUCCCUAC